rfam:Trichobilharzia regenti genome assembly, scaffold: TRE_scaffold0002643
AGUUAGCUGACGAGUCCCAAAUAGGACGAAAUGCGCGUUAUCCUGGAU